rnacentral:lncRNA from 11 species
ACUGAAUUGCCAUGGACUACAUCUUUACCUUCCUUUGUCCCCUAUAGAGAGGCAUUGGACUUUGUGAAGGUAAAAUCUCUCACAUAA